CUUCGGUGAUGACACGAUGACGAGUCAGAAAGGUCACGUCUUGCUUUUGGUAAAAGUGUGUCAGUGUCACGUUCUGUGGUGCUGUACAUGCUUCCCUUGGCAAAAGUGUCCUGUGCAUUGAUUGAUUUAGAGGCAUUUGUCUGAGAAGG